UACGGAGGGUGCAAGCGUUGCUCGGAAUCACUGGGCGUAAAGCGACCGCAGGCGGCCUGACAAGUCGGAUGUGAAAGCCCUGGGCUCAACUCAGGAAUUGCAUUCGAAACUGGCGGGCUAGAGUAUCGGAGAGGUUGGUGGAAUUCUCGGUGUAGAGGUGAAAUUCGUAGAUAUCGAGAGGAACACCGGUGGCGAAGGCGGCCAACUGGACGAAUACUGACGCUGAGACUCGAAAGCGUGGGGAGCAAACAGG
rnacentral:rRNA from 1 species